GACGAACGCUGGCGGCGUGCCUAACACAUGCAAGUGGAGCGACGAACCAGGCUUCGGCCUGGGGCAAAGCCGCGAACGGGUGAGUAACACGUGGGUAACCUGCCCCGAAGACCGGGACAACCCGAGGAAACUCGGGCUAAUACCGGAUGUGGUCACCGUCCGCAAGGACAGUGAGCAAAGGAAGCUUCGGCCUCCGCUUCGGGAGGGGCCCGCGGCCCAUUAGCUUGUUGGUGAGGUAACGGCUCACCAAGGCUGCGAUGGGUAGCUGGUCUGAGAGGACGAUCAGCCACACUGGGACUGAGACACGGCCCAGACUCCUACGGGAGGCAGCAGUGGGGAAUCUUGCGCAAUGCGCGAAAGCGUGACGCAGCAACGCCGCGUGGGGGAAGAAGGCCUUCGGGUUGUAAACCCCUUUCAGGAGGGACGAAGCCUCGGGAGUGAAUAGCUUUCCGGGGUGACGGUACCUCACGAAGAAGCCCCGGCUAACUACGUGCCAGCCGCCGCCGUAACAC
rnacentral:rRNA from 1 species